rnacentral:rRNA from 1 species
GUGCCAGCCGCCGCGGUAAGACGAACCGUGCGAACGUUGUUCGGAAUCACUGGGCUUAAAGGGCGCGUAGGCGGGCCAGCAAGUCCGGGGUGAAAUCUUUCGGCUCAACCGGAAAAGUGCCUUGGAUACUGCUGGUCUCGAGGGAGGCAGGGGUCUGUGGAACUUCUGGUGGAGCGGUGAAAUGCGUUGAUAUCAGAAGGAACGCCGGUGGCGAAAGCGACGGACUGGUCCUCUUCUGACGCUGAGGCGCGAAAGCUAGGGGAGCAAACGGGAUUAGAUACCCUAGUAGUCC